rnacentral:sRNA from 1 species
UUCCCGGCGGCUGCUUGCGCCCCAGCGCGCGCCCAGGCGCCUUGGAAUCCCCGUCCUUGGGCCCCCGCAAGGUCCCCGGCCGUGCGCGAGGCAGCGCGAUGAGGCGCACCCUGGAAAACCGGAACGCUCAAACGAAACAACUGCAAACAGCUGUCUCAAAUGUGGAGAAGCAUUUUGGAGAACUGUGCCAAAUCUUCGCUGCCUAUGUGCGGAAAACUGCCAGGCUGAGAGACAAAGCAGACCUCCUGGUGAAUGAAAUCAACGCGUAUGCUGCUACAGAGACCCCGCAUUUAAAGCUGGGCCUGAUGAACUUUGCAGAUGAGUUUGCCAAACUUCAGGAUUAUCGACAAGCAGAGGUAUGGAGUGAGAUCACAGUGUCAUUGUUAUGAAUGAGCCAUGAAGCAGUGGAUGAAGGAACCGUGGAAACUUUCACUUGUAAUCUACCUAACUGCAGAGGUGGAUGCAAACUUGAUAAAACGUACAUUUUCAUGUCUGUAAGACUGUGUGAGUCUAUUAAAGAGAAGCGUUCUGUGUUUUAUUUUACCGUUUUCAAGCUAACCUUUAGGGCAUCUUGAAGUCUUGAAUUUCCCCACUUUAUCUGCCAACUUUUAGCCAAGGGGUGGCUGUUUACUGGAGGUAGUGGGAAUAGUACCCAGGGGGAAGAAAAUAAGCAUAACUUGAUGUCUUGUGUGGCACGUAAGUACGUUUUAAAGAAUGACUGGAGAUGGAAAUGUUGGGAAUGGUAAUGUGGAUGGAUAAAUUAUUAAUAAAUGGGCAAGAGAUCAUUGCUGCAUCCAUGCUCUGGAAAAUUGACCAAUGGUUUACUAACAACAACAAAAUGCUAUGAAUUAUAUCAUGGAAGCAAACCAAUACUGAGACACCGUGUGGACUUUUUGCUCUGGGUAGCAGGAGAAAUGUCCUUGUGAUUGUUUUCUUUCUAAAAGCCCAUAUUUUUCCUUUAAAUACUUAAUAAGCACUUUUACUUGUAUUUAUUUCCAGUUUCACGGCAUAGGUUAACUUAUCAGAAGUUGCCCAGUUAGAACUGCGUUGCUUUUUUGUACUUUUCUCUUCAGAACCUAAAAUGGAAAUUUCAGUUUUCAAAAAACAGAAUGAGUAUUAAAAAAAAUUGAACUCAUGAUUGCUAUCCAUACAAAUUUGAAGAGUAAUCAUAUUUGGAGGUACUUUUGGAAAAAUGUGGAGUUCUUGUCAUGAAACUUCUGUAAUAAACAAGUAACUCUCAAUUAUAUAUGAUAACUGGGGACUUAAUGUUUCAAAGAUAAUUUAUAUUCACAGGUAAUCCUAAAAUCUUAUUUUAGCCAAAAAUUUCAAUGCCCCUUUGUAGAAAACCUUUAUGCUAUUUAUCAAAUAGCAAAGUGAAUUGAUUUGCAUUUGUUCUCCUUUUAUUUCCCUUGCUUACCAAAUGGUGGAGGUCCUAAUGAACAAUGACAAAAAGGUUGAAAGACUUGAAGCCAAAGUAGUUGAACCCUUGAAAACUUAUGGGACCAUUGUGAAAAUGAAACGGGAUGACCUCAAAGCAACACUCACAGCAAGGAAUCGAGAAGCUAAGCAAUUAACUCAGUUAGAAAGAACACGUCAGCGAAACCCAUCUGAUCGACAUGUUAUUUCACAGGCAGAAACGGAAUUACAGAGAGCUGCAAUGGAUGCUAGCCGAACAAGUCGUCAUCUGGAGGAAACUAUUAACAACUUUGAAAGGCAGAAAAUGAAGGAUAUAAAGACUAUAUUUUCUGAAUUUAUCACAAUCGAAAUGUUAUUUCACGGCAAAGCUUUAGAGGUCUACACUGCUGCCUACCAGAAUAUACAAAACAUUGAUGAAGAUGAAGAUUUAGAGGUUUUCCGAAAUUCUCUGUAUGCACCAGAUUAUUCAUCUCGUUUAGAUAUUGUAAGAGCAAAUUCAAAGUCACCUCUUCAGAGAUCACUGUCAGCUAAGUGUGUAUCUGGAACAGGACAGGUAUCCACUUGUCGACUAAGAAAGGAUCAACAAGCAGAAGAUGAUGAGGAUGAAGAGUUAGAUGUUACAGAAGAAGAAAAUUUUCUUAAGUAAACUACACAUUUCCAUGUUCAUCAUAAAUGACAUGAAAUCCACAAUGACUAAAUUGUAGAACUUUAUACUCACUUUGCUAUGUUAAGCCUCAAAGUGAAGUCCAACUGGAAACAGAAAAAUAAUUAAAGGAAACUUAUGCUGACCAAAAAUGAAGGCUUUAAAAAAUAUUGCAUACUAGUCAUUUCAACAUCCUACCUAGUGUUACAUUAUUUUUGUGUAAGUGCCUUUUUUUAAAGAUGUGUAUUUCAAAGUAUUUCAUAUUAAUGUACUAUAUCUACUUGAAGUUCCACAGUACAUUAUGACAGAAACCAAAAGAUCUAACAAUUCUGCUUAGCUUUUUGGUUAAGACUCCAUGCUUUCAUUACCAGAAAAGGGUCUUAUGUAGUCAUUCUGAUUACAUGUAAUUCUAUUCCAUGAAGCCUUAAGAAAAAAAGUUUUUUUUAACAUUCCCUAAAACUUUAUCAUUUGAUAAGUAAAUUUACUUUUCAAGAAGAGUAUAAUCAAAGAGUAAAGAUAAUGUGACACUAAGAUAUCAAUGUUUUAUGAAUACACAUAAGGCAUAAAUUUUAGCUGUAAAAAAGCCACAUUCAGUCUGACUCUGGUUUUAAAACAAAACUGUCAUAAUUAUACAUGAUACUGCAACUUUUGGAAGUCUAAUUUGGUGGAAUGUUGCCUCAUCAUAGAACACCAUAGAUCAUUAAAAAUUCUAUAAAAAUUUUACCAAGCUACCAUAUAGUUAAUAAAAGGGUAUACAGUCACUUUUAUUUCUGAAAAUAUAAAACAUUGAGCCUUUCAGUGUAUCUGAUGCUUCUCUUUUGGUAAGGAAUACUUUUAUUUCAUGGAUCCCAGGCAGGCAUAUAAAAGUUACGGAAUUUAUAAAAUCAUUUGGGAUAAUUAGAAAAUGCAAUUAUUCGUAACAGAAAAAUAAAGACUUUCUAGAAAGCUUU